rnacentral:rRNA from 1 species
AUGUUCCGCUUCUCGGCCACGCUCUGUGUUGCCACCAUCGGAAACUGCAACCUUCCGGACAGCACCGUCCAAGGGCUUCACUUCCCCCUGCUUAAGCAGCUCGGACUUGAACUCGUCAGCAUCUCGGAGUGCUCACUGCACAGCUUGAUUGCCAGUUGCCCUGCUGUGGAGUGCUUGCUGAUUAGCCAUGGAUUCGGCUUUUGCUGCCUCAGGAUCAACUCCCUUACCCUUAGAAGCUUUGCUGUCAAGAACUAUCGGAAAGGCAAUGACCAGUUAAAGGAACUAGUUGUCGAGAAUGCGCCUUGCCUUCAAAGCUUGCUCCAUCUUGAUUUUGACUAUGGUUUGCAUAUAUCAGUGGUCUCCGCGCCUAAACUGGAGACCCUAGGCUGCCUUUCUGAUGGGUUUUACAUCUCCAAACCAGAUGAUCUCUCUAGAUUCGUGUUUGGCUCCACAGUUAUUCAGGGCUUGCGUGUCGAUAGACUGACAACGGUGGUGCACGCAGUGAAGAAUUUAGCUGUCAAUAUGAAGAUUCUUAGUUUGGAUACAAUUAUCGAGUUGAUGCGAUGCUUUCCAUGCUUGGAGAAGAUAUAUAUUGAGUCAGAGUCAAAGAAGGAAAAAAAUGUGCGCGGUCGCAAACACCGGAAUCUUACCAAAUGUCCUAACAUCCGUCUAAAGACAAUAGUAUUUGAAUGUUAUGAGGGUAUUAAGUCUGACAUCGAAUUUGCUUCAUUCUUUGUACUGAACGCUACAGUGCUGGAGUUAAUGAAACUUCAGAUCAGAGCCAGGGAUUAUAAUGAACAAUUCUUGGCAGAACAACGUAGGAAGCUUCAGCUAGUAAACAAGGCUUCACGAGGUGCUCGGUUUCAUUUUACAACUGAUAAAUGUGCCCGUGGUGUUUGGGAUGUGCAUCAUGUCCGUGACUUGGAUUUAACUGAUCCAUUUGUAUGUUGA